CUACGGGUGGCAGCAGUGGGGAAUAUUGCACAAUGGGGGAAACCCUGAUCCAGCAAUGCCGCGUGUGUGAAGAAGGCCUGCGGGUUGUAAAGCACUUUCGGUUGGGAGGACUGCUUCUAGCACUAAUAUUGUUGGAAGUUGACGUUACCUUCAGAAGAAGCACCGGCUAACUCCGUGCCAGCAGCCGCGGUAAUACGGAGGGUGCAAGCGUUAAUCGGAAUUACUGGGCGUAAAGCGCGCGUAGGCGGCUAGAUCAGUCGGGUGUGAAAGCCCCGGGCUUAACCUGGGAACUGCAUCCGAUACUGUCUAGCUUGAGUACAGGAGAGGAGAGUGGAAUUCCACAUGUAGCGGUGAAAUGCGUAGAUAUGUGGAGGAACACCAAUGGCGAAGGCAGCUCUCUGGCCUGAUACUGACGCUGAGGUGCGCAAGCGUGGGGAGCAAACAGGAUUAGAUACCCGCGUAGUC
rnacentral:rRNA from 1 species